CACUGUUAGCAGGUGUUAGAACUUUGGAGCCCUGCACAGAGCUGCCAGCUAAUUACUGCUGACUCCCUGGGGCAGAUGUGGCUUGUUUAACUCCCCCCUUAGAAGGGGGCUACUCCCACUUCCUGUAUUCAGGGUGGAGUUGGUGGCUCUGCAUCAAAGUGACUCCUGCCACAGAGAGUUGCUUGAAAAUUCUUUCACAAUUCAUCGGUGUCAGCAUCUUGAGCACUGGAAUAUCACUGGACUUACAAGCUUGUGAACAAGCUUGGCUACAGUGCCUUUUCAGGUUCCUUCCAUCCACAGAAAUGUCUCUUUGCAGAGACUCUGCUGGCUCUAGGGGACAAGAACAGCUGUCAUCUGAGCUGCUUAACCCUGUUUGGUUUGCUUCUCCCUGCACCUUCUGAAGCUUCUCCAUGUGGCGUUGCCCUGUAUUAAUAAAUCACAUUCAAUUUGGGAGUGUGCAUUUUUUGGUCAGGGUGUCAC